UACGAAGGGGGCUAGCGUUGCUCGGAAUCACUGGGCGUAAAGCGCACGUAGGCGGAUUGCUAAGUCAGGGGUGAAAUCCUGGAGCUCAACUCCAGAACUGCCUUUGAUACUGGCGAUCUUGAGUCCGGGAGAGGUGAGUGGAACUGCGAGUGUAGAGGUGAAAUUCGUAGAUAUUCGCAAGAACACCAGUGGCGAAGGCGGCUCACUGGCCCGGUACUGACGCUGAGGUGCGAAAGCGUAGGGAGCGAACAGG
rnacentral:rRNA from 1 species